rnacentral:lncRNA from 1 species
GUCCCGGAUGCGCGGCUUGCGCAGGUUCUCGGCAGCGAUCCGUGCCAGCACAUACUCCUCAGGGAUGAUACUCUUCCGAGCCAACAUCUUCCUGCCACCAUAGUCCACCUAGCGAGAUGCGAGACGGGGGCUGCUCCCCGCGGUGUGUCUCCGUGGGGCUCACUGCCUCCCAACAGGUCGGGUCCUCGGCUCUCCAGGAGAUACCCAGGUGUGUCCGCAGCACGGACACUCGCUCACUCGCAUCCUUCGGGCCGUGAAGAAUCAGACUGCUCCGCUCUGAACCGAGGCCGGCUCGCGGAGAGCCUUCCCGGCCGCACAGCCCCCGUGCCGUCCCCCCGGCAGCAUCGCAGGGAGCCGAGCCGCGAGCUGGAGGCAGGACCGCGCCGAGCGGGCGUUCCCGCUUUCCCCUCAGCCCUCCUUCUUUUCCGGGAUGAGGCGGGGCGGCCUCGCUUUUAUCCCCAGCCGUGUCCCCAGACGGCUGUCGGAGCUCGGCGGCGGUACGUGAGGCUGCCGGCAGCCCUCCGGAGCGGGCAGGGACUCCGGACGCCCGCCCUGAGGCUCCAGAUUGGGGCCGGGCCGAUAGGACGCGGGUGUCCCGGCUGCCCGGAGCUUCGCUUUCCCAGCUUUAUCGCAGCUCAGGUCUCAGCUCGCAGGCUGUGGGAGCGUAAGCGAUUGGAGGAGCGGGGCCGGAGCCUGACGGCCUCCCCCCGACAAACGCAGUUACCUGUUGCGGCAGGAGGAAAAGAGACGUUCCUUUGUAGGGCGCGCAGCUCGCAUUGACUCGGCCGGGCACUGCGUAGGGCCGCUCUAAUCCUCAGCCGCUAUAAGGGGAGUUGAUGGAUGGGUAUUUAUAUAAGCAAAAUGAGUGCAGCGUCAGAAACGACUCGCGGAGGUUCACUCGUGUUCCCGCAGGUCAAAGUUUAUGGUUUUGGCACUGGUGUUUAAUGGAAACUCGCAUUCUUGGAAAUCACAGCUUUCCUUUUUUCUUUAAUUCUGCUUUUUCGCCCCCGAGGUCUUAAGGCUUGUAGCAGGAGGAAUAAACACAACUUCAGCUUUGAGUAAAGAUCUAAAUUUAGAUCUCAGUAUAGCAAAGUGCAGGGAUAUUGUGUUGGCUUAACUCCUCCACGCCCAAGGAACGCCUGCCUGCGUGCGUGUGUAUAUGUGUGUGUGUGUGUGUGUAUGCAGUGUGAGAAGUUUCCUGUACAUCACUCAAGGGGAUGACCUACCUGCUGCACGUGGAGGGGCAGAGGCUGGACAUGAGGGCUGACUCAGUUGUUGGAUGCAGCCUCCAGAAGUGCAUCUUUCUUGGUGUAACUGUUGCAAAUGGCUGUUUCAAUACACCUGCACUGAAAAGGAUGCUGCCUCUGCUCUUCCACCUGCGACCAGCUUCAAGGAAGCCUGCUGGGCAGUGGCCACUCAGAUGUGAAGGCCAGGAAGGCUGUCAGCAAGAACCUUUCCCUCUUCCUAGUUCAAUAAUAUGCAACAUGAUUUUGAGCACAGCACACGCCUCCCCAAGCUACAGUGCACGAAUACGCUCCGGAGAGUGACAGCUACCAAAAAUGUUCCCCUUUGCCCUUUUAAAUACUUGCUUGGUUGCCACAUGCACAUGAAAAUCUGUAAUAGUUCAGUAAUAGCUGGGAAAAUCUUCUGAAACCUCUUCUGGCCCUUCUGGUUAGGAACACAGUGUCUGAGUGCUGUGAACACAGCCUGCUCAGGGGACAAAUGGUCAGAAUUGCUUGCAGGUUUGGGUUCAGAUGUACUAGGGCCCAUUGUGCUUCUCCCUUCCUGCUGUUUCAC